rnacentral:rRNA from 1 species
GUCGCGUGUGUGAAGAAGGCCUUAGGGUUGUAAAACACUUUCAAUAAAGGAAGAAGAAAUUUAAAAAUAAGAUUUUUAUUUUUUUGACGUUAUUUAUAAAAGAAGCACCGGCUAACUUCGUGCCAGCAGCCGCGGUAAUACGAGGGGUGCUAGCGUUAAUCAGAUUUACUGGGCGUAAAGGGUGUGUAGGCUGUAAUUUUAAAUUAAUUAUAAAAUAUAUUAAGAUAAACUAAAUAUAGUAAUUAAUACUUAAUUUCUUGAGUAUAAAAGAAGUAAAUAGAAUUCUAAAAGUAGCAGUGAAAUGCUUAGAUAUUUAGAAGAAUACUUAUGGCGAAGGCAUUUUACUAUUUUAUACUGACGCUGAUACACGAAAGCAUGGGGAGCAAACAGGAUUAGAUACCCUGGUAGUCCAUGCAGUAAACGAUGUCAACUAUUUAUUAAAUAACAUAAUAAUAUUUUUAAAUUUUUAUGAAUUUUUAUUUAUGUAAUUUUAGUGAAAAAGCUAACGCGUUAAGUUGACCGCCUGGGGAUUACGACCGCAAG